rnacentral:rRNA from 1 species
GGGUGGCGAGUGGCGAACGGGUGAGUAACAUAUCGGAACGUACCGAGCAGUGGGGGAUAACUAAUCGAAAGAUUAGCUAAUACCGCAUAUAUUCUGAGGAAGAAAGCAGGGGACCAUUUGGCCUUGCGCUGUUUGAGCGGCCGAUAUCUGAUUAGCUAGUUGGUGGGGUAAAGGCCUACCAAGGCGACGAUCAGUAGCGGGUCUGAGAGGAUGAUCCGCCACACUGGGACUGAGACACGGCCCAGACUCCUACGGGAGGCAGCAGUGGGGAAUUUUGGACAAUGGGCGCAAGCCUGAUCCAGCCAUGCCGCGUGUCUGAAGAAGGCCUUCGGGUUGUAAAGGACUUUUGUCAGGGAAGAAAAGGGCGGGGUUAAUACCCCUGUCUGAUG